CUCAAAACAUUAGACUGUGGUGCAUUGAUAAAUUAAUAUAAAAAAUCUAUCAAAUACCAGAGCUGAAAAAAAUUAUCCUAUCGUUAUAUGGCCAAAUUUGGCAAUUCAUAUCUAAACUUUGCAAACUCUGCCUUUAAUUCGCUGUUGAGUAGAUAUCGUUUCUGUAACCCAAUACAAGAAAGUCAAUUGCGUAUACCAGAAUGCCUUAUUAUGAG